rnacentral:rRNA from 1 species
GUCUAUGGCCAUGCUACCCUAAACAAGCCCAAUCUUGUGAUCUCAAAAGCUAAGCAGGGUUGGUCCUGGUUAGUACUUGGAUGGGAGACCACCUAGGAAGACCAGGUGCUGUAGGUG